rnacentral:lncRNA from 1 species
GGAAAGAGAGGAAGCUUCGACCUUGAUAACGAAAGUGAGGGCACGGGUGGCAUGGGUAAGACUCGAGUGGUGGCAACUUGGUCCAUAGUCGCCAUGUUUUAGCAAUC